rnacentral:rRNA from 2 species
GCUAUAAUGCAGUCGAGCGAACUGAUUAGAAGCUUGCUUCUAUGACGUUAGCGGCGGACGGGUGAGUAACACGUGGGCAACCUGCCUGUAAGACUGGGAUAACUUCGGGAAACCGAAGCUAAUACCGGAUAGGAUCUUCUCCUUCAUGGGAGAUGAUUGAAAGAUGGUUUCGGCUAUCACUUACAGAUGGGCCCGCGGUGCAUUAGCUAGUUGGUGAGGUAACGGCUCACCAAGGCAACGAUGCAUAGCCGACCUGAGAGGGUGAUCGGCCACACUGGGACUGAGACACGGCCCAGACUCCUACGGGAGGCAGCAGUAGGGAAUCUUCCGCAAUGGACGAAAGUCUGACGGAGCAACGCCGCGUGAGUGAUGAAGGCUUUCGGGUCGUAAAACUCUGUUGUUAGGGAAGAACAAGUACAAGAGUAACUGCUUGUACCUUGACGGUACCUAACCAGAAAGCCACGGCUAACUACGUGCCAGCAGCCGCGGUAAUACGUAGGUGGCAAGCGUUAUCCGGAAUUAUUGGGCGUAAAGCGCGCGCAGGCGGUUUCUUAAGUCUGAUGUGAAAGCCCACGGCUCAACCGUGGAGGGUCAUUGGAAACUGGGGAACUUGAGUGCAGAAGAGAAAAGCGGAAUUCCACGUGUAGCGGUGAAAUGCGUAGAGAUGUGGAGGAACACCAGUGGCGAAGGCGGCUUUUUGGUCUGUAACUGA